UUUGGCACCCAAACGCCAUUUGGAAAGCACCGUUCUAAAUUUAUCCUCUUCUGAAUCAUCACUUCUGAUAGAUGCAGUUGCCUUGUUUGCGUUGUGAUAUUUGAUUUUGUACAGUGUUCCUUGGGCUAACUUUUGAUAUUUUGCUUUUUGUUUAGAAUUUGAAAGUAGUAUUCUUUGGAAGGAGACGCACAGAGAAUACUUGAGGACAACCAAAGCCGAAUUAGAGGAUAUAACGUGUUUUAUUUUUUUAAUUAGAAAAAUAAGGAAUUACAGUGUGGUUUUUCCCCCCCUUUAACUUAGAGGAACAAGGAGUGUACAGAAAUUUGAAGUGUUCAAUAAAUACCUGUGUGGUGAAGAAACGGAUGAAUGGGACACGUGCGUGCGUGCGCGCGCGCGCGCACACACACACACGAGCUGAAAGCAUUUGAAGUCCUUAUCUGCUGAGCUCCCCAGUGAAAUUUCCCUUUUUAACACUUCUGACUCAUUCAAGCCUUUUCCAGAAGGAAGGUAAUUACGUGUUUUUGUUUUAAACAGUUCUGUUUUUGUACUGCUGGUGGACAAGUGAGGAAUAAUCAGUUUUAACUUUUAAGUGAAAUGAGUAAUUAAGCCCAGAAGGUACUGCUGACAAAAUUGGAAUCCUGUCUGUCAUUUAAUAGAGUGCCAUGUUGAAUUUGCUUUGCAUGUUGCUGGGGGAAAUAUGCUAGACAAUACACUCUAAAGUUUUUUUUAAUGAUUGAGAGAAUUAGGAUCAUUUAAAAAGGUUGAAAAACCAGGUGGCCAAUGUCUAGAAAAUUGUUUAAUUAAACCUAAAGCAAACAAGCUAAGGUCAUUGUGAUGUGGUAGUUUUUAAGAAUAGCAAUUUAGAAAUUGGUAUGUUCCUUACAUAGUGUAGAUGCUGUUGUUUACCUUGAAAGAUUUGCUUGUGUGAUUCACUUAUUUGAAAGUUCAGACCUGUUCUGUGUCUACAGCCUCUCUGUGUG
rnacentral:lncRNA from 1 species